GGACGAACGCUGGCGGCGUGCUUAACACAUGCAAGUCGAACGAGACGAUUGAAAGCUUGCUUUUGAAAGUCGAGUGGCAAACGGGUGAGUAACGCGUAUCCAACCUGCCCAUCACUUGGGAAUAACCUUGCGAAAGUAAGACUAAUACCCAAUGAUAUCCAUAGAAGACAUCUGAAAUGGAUUAAAGAUUUAUCGGUGAUGGAUGGGGAUGCGUCUGAUUAGCUUGUUGGCGGGGUAACGGCCCACCAAGUCGACGAUCAGUAGCCGGACUGAGAGGUUGAACGGCCACAUUGGGACUGAGAUACGGCCCAGACUCCUACGGGAGGCAGCAGUGGGGAAUAUUGGGCAAUGGGGGCAACCCUGACCCAGCAACGCCGCGUGAAGGAAGAAGGCUUUCGGGUUGUAAACUUCUUUUACCAGGGACGAAGAAAGUGACGGUACCUGGAGAAAAAGCCACGGCUAACUACGUG
rnacentral:rRNA from 1 species